UUAAAAUAAUCAAAUUAGAAAGGUUUCAGUUAUCACAUGUAAUUUUUAGAAAUCUAUAUUAUGGUUAAUUGUGUAAUCAUGUUUGUAAAUUUCAAGACUUGUUCUUGUUUUAUACUUGUUUGAUCUGCUUUACUGUA